GUGUGUGUGUGUGUGUGUACGUUAGUGCGUUCUGACCUCAUUUCCUGUCGACAUCACGGCCACCACAGGAAACUUGUGCACCUCCAUCUCUGUGACCCCGACCGUGGCUAACAGGCCGAUCUCCGACGGGCCCAUGUGGCGAGAGACUGAAACCGCCAGACGACGAUCCAGCAGCUCUCACAUAAAAUAACUAAAAAAUGAAGCACAUCUGAUUAACAUCCAUCCAUCCGAGCUGGUCUGCAAACGCCUGUUUAUUUACACUGAAUUCUGGUUGGUACCUCUGUAGUUAAUAAUCUCGGUGCCCAGGACCGGAGUCAUCUCCAGCACAGUGAUGAAGGCUUUAUCCAUGGAGGUGAGGGGGAACGGGGACAUGCGGUGUCUCCUCGCCACCUUGGUGAUGUCCACCGCGCUGUGACCUGCACAGACGAGCGGCAGAGACGACGUGAAAAAUAAUAAAACAAUAAAAUAAUAAAGAAAGC